rnacentral:misc_RNA from 1 species
UGUCUAUCAGCUAUCAACUGCACCUAACAAGUAAACCAAACACCCCCUAAGACUGUUGAAGCAUGAUCUUCCAAACAGAAAGACACAACACCAUGACCAGCAUAUUUACAGCAUGCAAGAGGAUAUAAAAAAAAACAGAUAUGUAUGCAUGAACUUGCUAUGCAUGUCAACAACUAACAUGCAACAUAUGUAAAAGUGCAUAGAGUAGACCUGCAGCCCUGCAAAAAAUCCACAGAAACACAAAGGGGUUUGCUUUUCCAUGUAUAACACAAACAAGAUUCUUAUAACUCAGAAUCUACUAGUGCCUUGUGAGAGUAGGACUUUUGAGAUCAAGUAUGGAGACACAUAACACUUUUCUAUGUCGCCUCUAAUCUCUAAGUAAUGACACUCUGGCAUUUAAUUGAGGCGUUCCUUUCUUCUGGGUCCCCAAACGCACUUCACCUUGUCACUAGGGCUCUCAGUGUGAUGGGAUUAAUUAUUUUCUGGUAUUGUUUAUUUUAUCAUAAAAAGAGUAUCAUGCUUUUCUAAAUAAUUAAUGUCAGUUCAAUAACUAUUAAAUGAACUUCUCAACAAAUUUCACAUUUUAAAUAAAAAGGACAUAAUAUAUGACAUAAAAUGGACUAGAUAGAAUAGCCGAGGACAACAAGGAAAUCAAGAAAAAUGAAGUUUAAGCAAUUAAGAAACCAAGAAUUUUUUGCCUAGAUUUUUUGCAAGGCUUAUGAAUGAAAGUGGGUAAAGCUUGUGAAACCGAUGGAAUACGAAUUGAAGUGUGAAAGUGUUUGGAAGAUAUGAGAGUGUCAUGGUUAAUUAAAUUGUUUAAUA